UUCGGUAGCAAAUGUGUAGCAACAUGGACAGCAGAUGACCUUGAAGAAAGAGAUGAAGAACAGAAGCUGGGUACAGAGAGUUGCUCAGUGACUGAGAGAUCCUGGGCAUUUCCUGAGUGCAGAGCGAAGAUGUGAUGCUGCCCUGCUGAGAGAGAAUGUCACCAGAGGUGAUCCUAAAGAUUCAUAAGUGAGUUGCCCCGAGUACGAGUAUAUUUUGGUUACGUGAACAUAUUUUGGUAACCUCAGCAUACUCGUUCCUGGGGUAUACUUCUUGGUACGCCUUCAACAUCCACAGGUGUUCCCUGCACACAUCUCCUCAACGAAUGUGCUCUGGUCACGAAGAACACUCUACGUUUUUGCCUUUGGUUUUGCCAAAUAGUCAUGCUCCUUGAAGCCUCCUCUCACAGUGAAUCUUCCAGUGCAAGAAAGGAAGGCAAACAACAGGGAGUUUUCUGGCCACCAUCUCUUAGUAGAUGUGAGACAAGAUGGGCAGCAGAUGACCCUGAAGAGAUGAAGUCCAAAAGCUGGUUGCAGAGAGAACUUGAAUGACUUAUCUGAGUGAUUGAUGAGUUUACAUGUGAUGCUGUGCUGAAGAGAGAGAAGAAUCUUGAUGACAUGGACAAUCCAGCAGCAGUGGAAAUGAGUUGCCCCAGUUACGAGUAUACCUUGGUUACACAUCCUUGUACAUGUAACCUCAGUAUACUCGUUCCUGGUGUAUACUUCUUUGUCCAAGUUCUCUGGCCACAGGUGUUUCCUGGAAAUAUUCCCAACAAAUGUUCACUGA